rnacentral:rRNA from 1 species
UACCCGCAGCACAAGUGGUGGUCAUUAUUAUUGGGCCUAAAGCGUCCGUAGCUGGCUUGUUAGAUGCCUGGGUAAAUCGAUGCGCUCAGCGUAUCGAACUCCGGGUAGACCGGCAAGCUUGGGACCGGGAGAGGCGUGAGCUACUCGAGGGGUAGGGGUAAAAUCCUGUAAUCCUUCGGGGAGGACCAGUGGCGAAGGCGUCACGCUAGAACGGCUCCGACAGUGAGGGACGAAGCCCUGGGGCGCAAACCGG